CUCCGAUCAGUAUAAAUAAACAGACGCGAUCGUAAGGAUUAUAGUAUCUAGCAGUUAUCAAUCUAAUCAGCGAGUAUAUUAGCGAUUAUACAGUGUCUUAGCGAAUCCUCCUCUACGGACUGUACACUGGCGUGGACGUAUCGCCGCGUCUAACGGACUACACUUACGUUCUUGCGAAGCGACGCUUCUUUUCGACCAACGUUAGCACAUGCAUCGUCGUACGCGUUAGAGCAUAAAUGAGAAUGGAAAAA
rnacentral:misc_RNA from 1 species